rnacentral:rRNA from 1 species
AGCAGUCGCCGCGGUAAUACGAAGGGGGCUAGCGUUGUUCGGAAUUACUGGGCGUAAAGCGCACGUAGGCGGAUAUUUAAGUCAGGGGUGAAAUCCCAGAGCUCAACUCUGGAACUGCCUUUGAUACUGGGUAUCUUGAGUAUGGAAGAGGUGAGUGGAAUUCCGAGUGUAGAGGUGAAAUUCGUAGAUAUUCGGAGGGACACCAGUGGCGAAGGCGGCUCACUGGUCCAUUACUGACGCUGAGGUGCGAGAGCGUGGGGAGCAAACAGGAUUAGAUACCCCGGUAGUCCCUGUCUCUUAUAC